AUCCAACUGACAAGUCUUAAAUAGGACGAAAUGUGCAUCCUGAAU
rnacentral:hammerhead_ribozyme from 1 species